rnacentral:lncRNA from 1 species
CCCUCUAACGUCGCUCGAUUCAGUCACCCGACCGAUUCGCGAGCGUAGGGAUUCCGCGCCUUUUCUCUCCGCGGUUGUGUGUGACCUACCGCUAAAUAACGUCCCCGCUUUUUUUUUCCGUUUCAACGGGGGAUAAGUCCAGUCAGUAAGUUCUAUUUUCUUUUAACCCCCGUUCAAUUUUUUUUAUCGUAAUCCUCACGUUUCAUUUCGUACUGUUCGUGUUUUUGUGUUCUUUCGAAUGAAGAAAAGGAGAGAAAGAAAAAUAAAGAGAAGCUUAUCGAUCUCUCUCUGAAGGAAGAAAGGUGUUCGCCGUACGUGUUCCAGGUUCGUUUAUUAACGAAAAUGUUCAGAGAAAUAAGUUGACACUUUGUAUGACGUUACGUUUCGAUAACACAAGUGAUAUGCGUGUAUCUGUGUAAGAGAGAAAGAGAGAGAGAGAGAGGGAGAGAAAGGGAAAGAGAUAGAUGGAACUAGAAGUUUUUCCUCCUUUAUCCUCACAUAUACAAACGUAUUUCACGUUGAAUUAACAUGGCCCACUUUCUAAACGAUCACAUGUCCUACGUCGGCUGCAGGAGAGCAGCAGCAGCAGCAGCAGUAGCAGCAGCAGCAACUUACGAAAGAGUAGUCAUUUAAAAUAAUCGUACCGAUUGGAAUGAUUGUUUUUCCUCUGUACGUGCACAUGUCGGGGGAAUAUAUUUAACUCGAUCGUGCAGUUCGUUGUGUUGUUUCGUUGUUAUCGUUGAUCGAUUUAAAUGUCGAAGAAAAUUCAACACCUUUCUCGUGUUUAUGAAAAUGACGGAAGGAAAAAAAAACAUGACGAGGAGGAACGUGGUAACACGUCCACGCGGUCAUGAGAGUUUUAAACGAGUGUCGACGGAUGACUGCCACGGUGGUGCAUUUACAUCGACGUAAAAGUGCAGUGUGACGAAAACGACAACGACGACGACGAUUACGAUUACGACUACGACUACGACUACGAUAACUACGACAAUUACUACGACUACGACUACGACUAAGACUAUGACAACUGUGAUGACACGAUUCGUGGGAGAAAUUGUGUAAAAUAAGCAAAGGGUAGUGUGCGUGAUUAUUAUUGUUAUUCAUUAGCGAUUCAAAUACUUACUUGAUAUAGUUCGCGUGUCUAAGUUCGGUAAGUCCCUACGAACUAAGAAAGAGAAACUACGAGAAGGUCUGAAGAAAGU